rnacentral:rRNA from 1 species
CUGUCUCUUACGGCCUAGCCAAUGAAAUUGAUCCUCCAGUACAAAAGCUGGAAUAAACUCAUAAGACGAGAAGACCCUGUGGAGCUUUAAAACCAAGAUCAUUAAACUAUGCUCCUUGGAUUUUUAGUUGGGGCGACUUUGGAGCAAAAAAACCCUCCAAAACAUAAAUUUAAUUAUUUAGACCAACACACCAAGAAAAUUAUAUUAGACCCAGCAGUAUUUUUUUACUGUCUGACCAAUGAACCAAGUUACCCCAGGGAUAACAGCGCUAUCCUCUUCUAGAGUCCCUAUCGACAAGAGGGUUU